GCCUAGGAGAUAAUGGAUAGCUCAGUUGGUAGAGCAUAAGACUCUGAAUAUCAGGGUCAAGAGUUCGAGCCCCACACUGGGUA